GCCGGGGUGGCAGAGCGGACUAAUCCAACGGUGAAUUUACAGCCGCGGAGUCUAUACGCGGCAGGCUCGAGACCUGUUUCUCCUAACGGAGUGCUUGGGUUCAAAUCCCAACCCCGGCG
rnacentral:tRNA from 1 species